AAGUUACAAUUGCUCAAUUCUCCGCUUACUACUUUUGAAACGUUAUAUUUUGUAUAGGAAAAUAACUAAAAACCCAUAAGUAACAACGAGUAUUUUUUUAAUCUAGUAUUGUUUUUAUUGUUCAUGCCGUUUAUAAAAUGAAUCGGACACUCCAGUUCCGUAGAUCCCAUUUCGUCGAGCAUUUUGGCUUUCCCUUUUUAAAAUGACAAAUGAAUAUGUUUUGUUCUAACAGAGUUAUUGCGCUUCCAAUGCUGCAACUUUGUGAUUCUUUCGAAAAAUUUGGAAUUUUCAAGUCAGAAAAUACUCGAAAUUUAUCACUGUGGACGGCAGUAAACGUAGUGGUGAAGCGCACCAGAGAGUGGGCGAACAACUAUUAUGUAUAACCGAGGAAUUGCAAAUCUGCUAUGAUGGUCGGCAAACCUUUUACGAAAUAAUCAAUGCCGGUUAAAUAAGUCAAAGGUUGCGUUCAGAACUUACCUUUAACGUCUAAACAAAAAUGUACUGUAUACUUUCUGGCGACAGCGAAAAAAAGGAUUCAAGUUUGAGGUUAUGAUCUAAAAAAUUAAAUUCCUCCAAUAAUCGUAAAAAGUGUUUUUCUAACUACAUCCAUUUUAACUGGAGUUCCUCACUCUUUAAAUCCCAAUAGGUCUGAUUAAAAGUCAAUAUCGGCCUAAAAACAAGGAAAACCGCCUUAGAUAAAACAAGAAUGAACGCAAUAGUCGAGUGCCUCGACUAUCAGCCUAAGAGAUCAAAAAAGAAAGUUGGUGUUCAUGCAAAUAAAUAACACGAUAUCCGUAGUGCUCUCUAUUGGGGGAACACCACCAGCUUCUUGACAGCUAAUGUGGAGCUGGAGGACGCGCCGUCUUCUUCAGGGAGGGAGAAAUAAGGCCUCCCGAUAAGGGGCGGCUGGAGGAGCCAUUACCAGCCAUCGCCAGCAGACAGAUGACAUAAAGAUGGCGAAGCAUCUGCGACACUAGAAGAAAGUCUUAACUACUUAUUACAUAAAUAAAUAAAAUUGCGUUGAACGUUCACUUAAUUUGUAUUUUUGUGCAUCAGCAGACUCGUUUUUUUCAGGCUAAUACUGAGCCUUUGUAUAAGUGUCCCAAGAAGCACUGUUUUAGAUAUACAUAUUUCUUGAUCUUCAACUUCUCGAUUUUCUUAAAAAAUAGAAAUUAUCAAACCUCUUAUAAUUAAGAUAGUUCUUUAAGACAACUGAAGUGUACUUAAUCAAUUAAAAAGCGAAUAACAAAUGAACAAAUUAUACCCUUCGUAAUUAAGAAUUUAAAAUCAAACUGUAACUGUAACUUUAAGCCAGCCUAAAGCCUUAGUAGCUAUGGCUGCGUAUUCCUGCUGCUUUGGUUUUUAACUUUAAGCAAGCAGUAUGUAAAUAAAUAAAUAAAUAACAUUUUUCUUGAGAGCCAAUGAUGUGGUAAUAUCUGCGUUUAAAUUUACGGCCACACUGA